CGGCGCUUGGACCCCCAUCCCCCAUCCCCUCCCCCGGCUCCCGGGCAGACGAUUUCUUGUGGACACCCACGGCUACGCCGGGACGCUCUGCCCCCACUCCUGGGGAGGCCUCAGCAGCGUUCGCCCCGCGCUGUUGCCGUUGCCGGGGCUUCUCCGUUACGGAGCGGUGGGGCCGCGGGAGCAGCGCUGGGGCAGCGCCCGAGAGGAGCGGGUUCGGCGGUGCGCUCCGCGCCUCUCUUCCUCCCCUCGGGACAGCGGAGCAGCGGCCGCUUUGAAGUAGAAUUAAAUAAAGACAUGGAACCUCCGCAAAGGUCCUCUCGGCCCCUCCCGCUCUUCUCCUUCUUUCUUUUUUCUCUCCCCCCAGUGUUAGCCUCCCCCCAACCCCCCCAUCCCCCCCCCCCCCCCCAGCCCGGCCGGGGUGAGAGGGAGGAAAGCCCGACGCCCUCGGGAGGAAUGGCACUGUCGGAGGGAGGGGGUCACCGUGUCCCGCGGAGUGGUACAAUGGGGUUUGCCCGCUCUGAUGGGAAAGGGGGAUCCGAUCGGGAGAGGGGCUGCUGGGAGGGGGGGAGGGGGGGGUGGGAGAAACAACAAAAAAAGGGGGAAAAAGAGAAAGGAAUAAAGAAAAAGAGAUUGCAAAAAAAAAGAAAAAAGAAAAAAAGAAAAGAAAGAAAAAUUUAAGAAAUAUAUAGGGGGAAAAAAAGGAAAAAAAAAAAAGAAAGGAAGAAAAAAGAUACCCGCGAGAUCGAAACGCAAGCAACUGAACAGAAAGCUGACUGUGCACGGAGAUGAUGAAAAAUCCACGUACCUCACUGUGCCCGCGCGGCCGGGAGAAGUGUGGGUGAGCCCGCUGAGUGUGCACGCAGGGCAGGAAACGUGUGCGGGUACUGAAAACAAAGGGGCGACAGAAAAGGCUCCGAGGGGCUCGGGGAGGUCGGGCCCGAAGCAGCCGGAGGGGUUCGACGGGGCCGGGCCGGGCUCGGGGAGAGCCGCGGUCGUUCCCCGCGUGGGUGCGGGUCGGGGCGCGGGCAUCGCCGUGCGUGGGGUGGGCAGCUGUGGCGUUGGGUCGCGUUCUUUCCGCUGCCGAAACAAAGGCGGUGCGGCGGCGGAGCAGGUGGGGGAGACAGGACGGGGGCAGGUAGGGUCCCGCUGCUGGAGAGAGAGGUUCCUCUCGUGGGCCGAGCCGGGAUUCGGCUCGGGAGGAGAGAGCCGGGAGAGAGCGGUUCUGGGGGAAAUCGCUCUGGGUCUUCGGGGGGUCUCCGGGCAGAGUCGGGAGCGAAUUUUAUGAUUAAUAAUAAUACCAAUAAUAAACAUUACGAUGAAACCCACCGCUCCGUAGCGGCGGUGGCGGCAAGCGAGGGACCGCCGAAGGGAAGCGGCCGAGAGGCGAUCCCGGGGCCGUCUCCCCCCACGGCCGCCGUCGGGGCCGCGCCGUCGAGGCGUGAGCUCGGCCGCCCGCCGCCCCUCGGGGCUGUCCCCAGGUCGCUUUCGGGGCCGGGCGGGGAGGUUUGGGAACGUCUGAUGCGGCGUGAGAGAAGAAGAGAAACGGGAGCGGGAGGAGGAGAGGGGGCAAAGCGGGGCUCCGGCUCCCCGAGGCCGGGCCACCCUCGCACGGGGAGGAAGAAGGCUCCGGGCCGCACCCCCGCACCCCGAGCCCGAUGAAUUACUGCCCUGUGCCUUAAUCGUGGCGAGGCCGGGCCGGGGUCAGGGCCUGAGGGAGGCGGGCGGAGAGAGGGGGCUGCAGGCGGGACUCGCCGGGGCCAAGUUCAAGUUCAGGGGCAGCCCGGAGAGGACGUGGCGGGGGGAGGCUCGUGUGGGUCCGCCCGCUCCGACCUCCGCUGGCACUGAGCGGGGAUGAGCGGUGACCCCGGGCCCCGCGGCCGGCACUGCCCCGGCCCGGGGAUGGAGCGGGGCAAGAACGUAAACGGAUGUUAACGGCCGUUUGAUCGCUCGGGAGCCCGCGCUACGCGGGGGGAUGGCCGAGGUGGGAGAGGCGCGGUUGCAGAGGACGCUGCGGUCCCGCUCCGCGCCCCAACCUUGCGGCGGCACCGAGAUGAAGGGCCCCUCUUCUCCCUCCACCCCCUCCUCCCCUCGCCCAGCGUCUGGGGAACGAGCCCGAAGCGAGCAGGGCGCCGCGUACCCCCGCUUAUCUUAUUCUCGUGGCUCGGGACGCCUCUGCCUUUCCCUGAGCGCGGGGCGCAGAGCCCGAAAACCAAACCGAAGCCGGGACGGGGGAGGUCCGCGGGCGACGCCGGACACCGAAAGGCCCUCCCGUGCCCACCGCCUCCCCCCGUG
ensembl:lncRNA